CACUGCAAGAAUUGCACAAAAUCACAGAAUGACUGGGUUGGAAGAGACCUUCAAGAUCAUCAAUUCCAACCCAUGCCCUACCACCUUAACUAAACCAUGGCACUGAGUGCCACAUCCAGUCUUUUUUUAAACACAUCCAGAGAUA